rnacentral:rRNA from 1 species
UACAGAGGUCUCAAGCGUUGUUCGGAAUUACUGGGCGUAAAGGGCUCGUAGGCGGCCAACUAAGUCAGACGUGAAAUCCCUCGGCUUAACCGGGGAACUGCGUCUGAUACUGGAUGGCUUGAGUGUGGGAGAGGGAUGCGGAAUUCCAGGUGUAGCGGUGAAAUGCGUAGAUAUCUGGAGGAACACCGGUGGCGAAGGCGGCAUCCUGGACCAUGACUGACGCUGAGGAGCGAAAGCCAGGGGAGCAAACGGG